rnacentral:lncRNA from 1 species
AUCUGCAGAAGCCAAAUGAGGAAAUUAUGAUGAAAUAUUUGACCUACAUCGGGAAAUGUCAAUUAAAAUAAGGUACACUUGCCUGAUGCAUAUGGAGACUGAAGUAGCAGUAAUUUUCCAGCUUCUCGUUCUACUAGUUACCAACCAGCUCUACGAGCAAAAACAUCUGGGAAGCCAGAUACCAUUGGUAGAACAGGUUUUGUUUCUUUUUAUUUCCAGAAGUGCUCUAAAAUUCAUGCUCCGAAAAUCGCCAGAGGAAAAGAAUACGGGUUUGUAGUGAAAAUCUCUCUUUCACAAGAAAAGGCAUUAGAGAUAAAUUUCUUGAUUUUCCCCUGUGUUUGAUCUCCAUACAACUGACAUCCUUGUUUACGUGAUGGCUUCAGCAAGGCAUGAAUUUCGGAGUUUCAGUCACUCAUGUGUGGUUUAUGUUAACUUCCUAGACUGAGUUCAAUAUGUCAUCUCCGAAGAGAUGGGGCCUCUCCCUUUAGGUAGAAAAUUUAAGUGAUAUCAGCCCCUCCUACGUGUCUAAGGCAAAGGGGAGAAGAAGAGCUCUGUGCAGUCUGCCACGGAGCAUUUCAGGUCACAAAAGUAGAAGGAAGUGCUGCCGAGAUCCCCCAGCAUGUUGGCCUUCUCUGACGUGACGUUUUAUGCAAGUUUUGCAGAAGGGAAGGAAAAGCAUGACCUGGUUGAGCUGAGACCUGCCAAACUCAGAGUGACAUUGAAA